AGUCCUCGACUUAUCAUGCCAAAAGUCACCUUAUUCUAGCUGGUAGAUCUUCAGAUAUUACAGAAACCCUACACAAUCCCAAUCUGCUAACUUCCGAUAUAUCUUUACACUAAUGGUCAAAUAUCCUCUAUCUGUUUCGUCAAAUUAACACAAACUUUUGCAUGCACUCGGCAUACUCAACCCUCUAGAUACCUCUAAAUUUCAACCAAAGAAAUUUCUCCAAUUUCACAAAACAGUCAAGAUUACCAGUUGUUACUUUAUUGCAAAAAAUCCAAUUCACCAAUACAAGCACUGACUUUCAGCAACAAUUACCAAAGUUCUCUCAAGUCCUAUGAAAUCCAAUUCUAUACCUUUCAAAGGAGCU
rnacentral:lncRNA from 1 species